AUUGAACGCUGGCGGUAUGCCUUACACAUGCAAGUCGAACGGUAGAGGGGCAACCCUUGAGAGUGGCGAACGGGUGAGUAAUACAUCGGAACGUGCCCAGUCGUGGGGGAUAACGUAGCGAAAGCUACGCUAAUACCGCAUACGACCCGAGGGUGAAAGCGGGGGACGCGCAAGGGCCUCGCGCGAUUGGAGCGGCCGAUGGCAGAUUAGGUAGUUGGUGGGGUAAAGGCCCACCAAGCCUGCGAUCUGUAGCUGGUCUGAGAGGACGACCAGCCACACUGGGACUGAGACACGGCCCAGACUCCUACGGGAGGCAGCAGUGGGGAAUUUUGGACAAUGGGCGAAAGCCUGAUCCAGCCAUACCGCGUGCGGGAAGAAGGCCUUCGGGUUGUAAACCGCUUUUGUCAAGGAAGAAAUCUUCUGGGUUAAUACCUCGGGAGGAUGACGGUACCUGAAGAAUAAGCACCGGCUAACUACGUGCCAGCCGCCGCCGUAA
rnacentral:rRNA from 1 species